AGAAGGCUAUUCAAGAAAUUCAGAUUUUUGAUUUGCAUAAGUUCAUCGUGAUAGUAUUUGAAUGCCUGGCACUGAUGCCUUAAGUGAUUGUGAUUAGUAUAUAUCAUGUGAUGGUUACUCUUCACCCCUGCAUUAGAGUGAACUGUGUUCCUUGGAAAGGUUUAUUUUGCUACAACUUUGUCAGUUUUGGUUUUGUUUAGCUUUGUUUUCUUGUAAAAAUGCACGUGUUAUUCUAUAUUUAUUUUAGAGAAGGCAAGGUUAGAGAGACAAAAUAAAUAUUCCGUAAUUAUUUUAGAGAGACACAGUUAGGUCGAGGGAGGUCAUUCCCUCACAGGUUGACCAGUUCUGCUUCCACAGAUAAGCUUUGCCCUAGUUUUAGAGAGGUUCAGUUGCAGCAGAAGAGCAAACUUAGCGAGUGCAGGUUUUAUUGAGGGCUUUAAGCAGUAUUUAAGAUACUUUGGACUCAAUAUGAGAAUUAUUUGAAUGACUGAUCCCAUUGUGAACUCCAUUUUUGUUGUGUUUGAAAAGACAACAUGAGAUCUGAAGGAAAAGUCUGAUUUCUCAUGGUCUGCUCUACUAUAUGAAGCGCUGUGUGAAUCUCUGGUGUACAACAUACACCAGAUACAUCACACUAGUGAUAAAGGAGUAAACAGCUGCAGUCAGUCACAGAUAGGCAUGAAACACAUUCCAGCCAACUGCAGAAUCCAUGUGGAAGUCCUCAUGCAACAAAUUAGCAUUGACCGGGAAUGACUACUCCACAAACAAAGACCAAGAGGACCGUGCCAGGGGAGCAUGAAGAUGUCACCCAUGCUGUGUGUAGGACUGCCAGUAGCACGGAUGGUCUCUCUGCAGGGGUGGCAUGGAGGAACAGCCCCGCACCAGAAAGAUGUUUUAAAACAGUGUACAAAGAAAAUGAAUGGUGUGCCUGGGGUAGGCUGCUAGGCUCAGAGGAAAGGCUAUGAAUAAAGGUAUCAUAUAUCCUUCUGUUUUUUAAUCUACACUAUUGUUAUUUACCACAAACUGAUCUAUUUUUUUAUUGCUUCAUUUGCAGCUGGAUUGAAAUUAUUUGGUUUAAUGGUAAUUUUUGAUUCAGGAACAGAUGUGCCUUACAUUGUUUCAGAUAAGACUGACACCAAGCAGGAUUGUUGGAGGAGCGUUCUGGCUAGCCAAUAGGCACUUCUGCCUUCUCUACUUUCAGGCUGCAGGUUGUUGAUGAUGCUGGACCAAGCUUCAUUUGCCAUUGUUAUGAUUUUUAGAAGGAGCAGUGUGUCAUUAUGUCCCUGGAAGCUGGAUGUUAUAAAGGGAAG
rnacentral:lncRNA from 1 species